rnacentral:rRNA from 1 species
GAUGAACGCUAGCGGCAGGCCUAACACAUGCAAGUCGAGGGGUAACAUAGAAAAGCUUGCUUUUCUGAUGACGACCGGCGCACGGGUGCGUAACGCGUAUACAACCUACCUUUUAGCGGGGAAUAGCCCAGGGAAACUUGGAUUAAUGCCUCAUAGUAUAUAAGCUUCUCCUGUAAGUUUAUAUUAAACAUUUAUGGCUAUUAGAUGGGUAUGCGUCCUAUUAGUUAGUUGGUAAGGUAACGGCUUACCAAGGCAGCGAUAGGUAGGGGUCCUGAGAGGGAGAUCCCCACACUGGUACUGAGACACGGACCAGACUCCUACGGGAGGCAGCAGUGAGGAAUAUUGGACAAUGGGCGAGAGCCUGAUCCAGCCAUGCCGCGUGCAGGAAGACUGCCCUAUGGGUUGUAAACUGCUUUUACAGAGGAAGAACCACCCCCACGUGUGGGGGUUUGACGGUACUCUGCGAAUAAGGAUCGGCUAACUCCGUG